rnacentral:lncRNA from 1 species
UUUUAAUAUGUAAUUCAUAAAGGUCUUUACAAAAAUUUAUAUUCUAAAUCCUUGUUUUUUAGGGUAAAAAUUCAGUUGAGUCAAGUGAAAAAAAUCCAGGUAAAUUUCUUUGUUAUAGUUUUGAAUAAUAUGUGUUUAUAUUUGUUUUAUUUGCUACAAAAAAUAAAAUGUGUUUUUUUAAUAGAUAUGAGAAAGAAAAGAGGAAGAGAGGAUGAAUCGUAUAAUAUUUCAGAGGUCAUGUCAAAAGAGGAAAUUUUGUCUGCGGCUAAAAAAAGUAAAGUAAAUGAGGUAAGAGAUUUAUAAUAGAAAUUAAGUUCGACAGUUUGCUUUCCUGAUUAUUGGCCCCUUUUUAAUCA